rnacentral:snoRNA from 10 species
UGCCACAAUGAUGACAGUUUAUUUGCUACUCUUGAGUGCUAGAAUGAUGAGGAUCUUAACCACCAUUAUCUUAACUGAGGCA